rnacentral:rRNA from 1 species
AAAUGAAUUGACGGGGACCCGCACAACCAGUGGAGCGUGUGGUUUAAUUCGAGACGAAGCGAAAAACCUCACCAAGGCUUGACAUGCUAGAGUUCUAAUCGCCCCAAAAGGUGAUGAUCCGUAAGGAGACUAGCACAGGUGCUGCAUGGCUGUCGUCAGCUCGUGCCGUGAGGUGUUCCCUUAAGUGGGGAAACGAGUGCAACCCUUGUCUAAUGUUAAAUAUUCAUUAGAGACUGCCUGACUUUUGUCAGGAGGAAGGAAAGGCGGACGUCAAGUCAGCAUGGCCCUUAUGCCUUGGGCUACACACACCCUACAAUGGCGAAUAACAAUGGGUUGCGAGCUCGUAAGAGCAAGCUAAUCUCAGAAAUUUCGCCUCAGUUCAGAUAGAGGUCUGAAACUCGACCUCUUGAAGUUGGAAUUGGUAGUAAUCGCGGAUCAGCGGGCCGCGGUGAAUACGUUAUCGGGUCUUGUACACACCGCCCGU